UACAGAGGCCCCAAGCGUUGCUGAGAAUCACUGGGUUUAAAGGGUGCGUAGGUGGCGCGUUAAGUCCGUUGUGAAAUCCCUGGGCUCAACCCAGGAAUUGCUUCGGAUACUGGCGUGCUUGAGGCUAGUAGGGGUCACUGGAACUGACGGUGGAGCGGUGAAAUGCGUAGAUAUCGUCAGGAACGCCGAUGGUGAAGACAGGUGACUGGGCUAGUUCUGACACUGAGGCACGAAAGCGUGGGGAGCGAACGGG
rnacentral:rRNA from 1 species